UUUCCGUAGGUGAACCUGCGGAAGGAUCAUUAAAGAGUUAGGGUCCUCGUGGGCCGACCACCAACCCUUUUGUGAACCACCUCGUUGCUUCGGGGGCGACCCUGCCGUUCGCGGCGUGGGGCCCCCGGAGCCCAUAAAACCCUGCGUAACUAAGUCGUCGGAGUUUAAACAAAUUAAACAAAACUUUCAACAACGGAUCUCUUGGUUCGGGCAUCGAUGAAGAACGCAGC
rnacentral:misc_RNA from 1 species